AUGGUCAUGCUUACUAGUAUCCUAUUGCUUUGUAGCACUCUUAACCAUCAAUUUUCACUAGCUAAGUCCAAAAGCAUGCAUUGUUUAGAGAUCUACUUCACUUGGACAUUCUCUAAUCAGCUCACUAUUCACUAUCUCGCUCUUGUCAUCUGCCUUUACUUGAGGACAAGUAAAGAUUUAAGUGUGGGGGAACUUGAUAUGCACAUUUCAUAUACAUCUUUUGACACUCAAAUAUGCAGUUUAUUGAGAUAUGACCAUCAAUUCUUGCUGCGAAAUAUUGAAUAUUUGCAUGAAAAUCAUAUAAAGAAUCAUUUGCAAGUCAUUUGUUUCUUUUGCAGAAAAGUGCACAAAGGCACUAUAAACUUCCAAGAUCUAGACUAG
rnacentral:rRNA from 1 species